rnacentral:rRNA from 1 species
UACGUAGGGUGCGAGCGUUAAUCGGAAUUACUGGGCGUAAAGCGUGCGCAGGCGGUUUUGUAAGCCAGAUGUGAAAUCCCCGGGCUCAACCUGGGAAUGGCAUUUGGGACUGCAAGGCUGGAGUGCGGCAGAGGAGACUGGAAUUCCUGGUGUAGCAGUGAAAUGCGCAGAUAUCAGGAGGAACACCGGUGGCGAAGGCGGGUCUCUGGGCCGAUACUGACGCUGAGGAGCGAAAGCGUGGGGAGCGAACAGG